AUUGAACGCUGGCGGCAGGCCUAACACAUGCAAGUCGAACGAGUGGCGGACGGGUGAGUAAUGUCUGGGAAACUGCCUGAUGGAGGGGGAUAACUACUGGAAACGGUAGCUAAUACCGCAUAACAUCCGAUGUGCCCAGAUGGGAUUAGCUAGUUGGUGGGGUAACGUCUCACCAAGGCGACGAUCCCUAGCUGGUCUGCUAGGAUGACAAGCCACACUGGAAUUGUGACCCGGUCCAGACUCCUACGGGAGGCAGCAGUGGGGAAUAUUGCACGAUGGGCGAAAGCCUGAUGCAGCCAUGCCGCGGGUAUGAAGAAGGCCUUCGGGUUGUAAAGUACUUUCAGCGUGGAGGCGUUACCCGCAGAAGAAGCACCGGCUAACUCCGUGCCAGCAGCCGCGGUAAUUC
rnacentral:rRNA from 1 species